rnacentral:tRNA from 1 species
GCCUCCGUAGUAUAGUCCGGAUAAAAUAAUGGAUUGCGGAUCCAUAGUCCCGAGUUCGAAUCUCGGCGGGGGCACCA